ensembl:rRNA 5S_rRNA 5S ribosomal RNA
AGCCCCAUUCCAUGCUGAAAGUGCUCAAUCUCGUCUGAUUUCAGAAGUUAAGCAGAGUCGGGCCUGGUUUGUACUUAGAUGGAAGAAGAGCGAAGCACAGAGAAGGUACAACUU